ACAAACAAAGCACAAACAGAAUGUCGACAUCUGAAAAGCAUGAAAGGUGGAAAAUGAGGAGCUUCGUCUCGAUCUUCCUCGACUCAGAAACUCAGUGUGGAGAAACUUAAACGACGGUUGAACUGCAGAGGAAACAAAGGGAGCGGAAAGAAGUUUCCUGUUUUCCUGAGCAACUCCCUUGACCCGGCUGGCAGGCCCGCCUGCCCUGAAGAACACUUUCCCUUUCCUCACGGCGCUCCGAGAAGAAAGGAGGGAGGCUGGGAUGGAGGAGGCGGAGGAGUCGGUGGGGGUCUGACUUAAUCUGACCCAUUGCUCAGAUGAUGACCAUUAAGUCGUUUAAAUCCCGCCGGAGCGCAGAGGUCCACAGGAAGUGACUCCCUGGCGGCGGCUGCAUGUUAGCGUGGCACUCCAGCCACAUCAUGACUGGCCCUGCAGAGGAUAGCGAGGGGAACUGGAAGGGGCACAAGCAGAGUGACCUUUUUCCAGUUACACAAAAUUGGUG